rnacentral:lncRNA from 1 species
AAUCCAGAAAUAGACAAGAAAGAGGGUUGAAACCUUCAUGACAAUGCUAGAGAAUUAACAGUGAGAGAUGCAUUAAGCAACAACACAGUUUUGCCUUUUACAAGCUCCCUGAGGUUUUUAUUUCAGUCAGAGGACCAAGAUUUCAGUUCAAGUCACUGGAAGAAAAGAGCUGUCAUUUAUGCUCUCUACUUACAGGUAAAUUGUCUUGUGAUUAUUUCCACAGAACUCUGACUUGGAUAAGUUCCCCAGAGGGCAAGACCAAGCUACCUAAGAUCGGAACCCUCUGAUAAUUUGUGCUGCUAUUUUAAGAUCCAGUUCCAUUCUACAACUGGCUGAAGCAUGAAGUCAACUAAAAUAAACUGAAUUGAGUGGAACUGAACUGAACUGAAGUGAAAUAAUGUGAUUUCCAGUAAACCUGACACCUUAAGGACAGAACAUGAGCCUUGCCCAUCUUCCUCCCAGAGGUCCCAGCACAAUCACCGACUCACACAAUACUCUCAGUGCAUGAGUGAUGAAUUUCACUAACAGCGACCCAUCUCUCUACAUAAUCCACUCCGGUUUCACCAGAGCUGAGAGUAUCAUGAAUUACAUCUAUAGAUAGCUGUAAGCUAAUGACCAAAGCACAUAACUGAAUUCAAACAUAUUCUUUAUUGCAGUCAGAUGUGAGAAAACAAAAUUUAGAAGACAAGCCAGAAAGGAAAUGAAGAACAUAAAGAGCCUGAAUUCUCAUCGUCAAUUUUUCCCUGACUGACUCCGUUUUCCUCUCUUCUUUCCAUUUACCUUUCUGUUCCCAUCCCCAUCAUUUUUGUAGUGUUUAUUGAGUGUCUGCUGCAUGCCAGUCAAUGUGCUGAGUACUUUUCAUGUGUUAUACCAUUUGAUCGUCACAGCAGCACACUAUUAUAAUUAUGAAUAUGAUUCCACAUACUAUAUCUAAAAUUUAACUUAAUUUUACAUAGGAGGAAGCUGAGACUUGCCCAAGACUACUCCAUUAGUAAGAUGUGAACCAAGUGAACCAUGUCUGACUCAAACCUAACCCCUGAUUCUCUGAAUCCAUAUCACCGUAGAACUCAACAGUGAAAUAUUGGGGUAGAGGUAAUGCUAUUAGUACACAAACUAUGCACAGAUUUACAAGCAACUAAACAGGAACUCAUGGCCAGGCACAAUGGUUCAUGCC